AUUGAACGCUGGCGGCAUGCUUUACACAUGCAAGUCGAACGGUAACAGGGAGCUUGCUCCGCUGACGAGUGGCGAACGGGUGAGUAAUGCGUCGGAACGUGCCGAGUAGUGGGGGAUAACGCAUCGAAAGGUGUGCUAAUACCGCAUACGAACUGAGGUUGAAAGUGGGGGACCUUCGGGCCUCACGCUAUUCGAGCGGCCGACGUCUGAUUAGCUAGUUAGUGAGGUAAAGGCUCACCAAGGCGACGAUCAGUAGCGGGUCUGAGAGGAUGAUCCGCCACACUGGGACUGAGACACGGCCCAGACUCCUACGGGAGGCAGCAGUGGGGAAUUUUGGACAAUGGGCGCAAGUCUGAUCCAGCCAUGCCGCGUGAAGGAUUAAGGUCCUCUGGAUUGUAAACUUCUUUUAUAAGGGACGAAAAAAGGCUUUUCUAAGUCGUCUGACGGUACCUUAUGAAUAAGCACCGCUAACUCCGUGCCAGCCGCCGCAGUAACAC
rnacentral:rRNA from 1 species